rnacentral:rRNA from 1 species
CCUACGGGAGGCAGCAGUGAGGAAUAUUGGUCAAUGGCCGAGAGGCUGAACCAGCCAAGUCGCGUGAGGGAAGAAUGUCCUAUGGAUUGUAAACCUCUUUUGUCAGGGAGCAAAGUCACCCACGUGUGGGUGUUGGAGAGUACCUGACGAAAAAGCAUCGGCUAACUCCGUGCCAGCAGCCGCGGUAAUACGGAGGAUGCGAGCGUUAUCCGGAUUUACUGGGUGUAAAGGGAGCGCAGGCGGGAAGCCAAGUCAGCUGUGAAAACUACGGGCUUAACUUGUAGACUGCAGUUGAAACUGGUUGUCUUGAGUGAAGUAGAGGUUGGCAGAAUUCCGAGUGUAGCGGUGAAAUGCGUAGAUAUUCGGAGGAACACCGGUGGCGAAGGCGGCCAACUGGGCUUUAACUGACGCUGAGGCUCGAAAGUGUGGGGAGCAAACAGGAUUAGAUACCCUUGUAGUC